CUAGUACGAGAGGACCGGGAAGGACGCACCUCUGGUGUACCAGUUAUCGUACCUACGGUAAACGCUGGGUAGCCAAGUGCGGAGAGGAUAACUGCUGAAAGCAUAUAAGUAGUAAGCCCACCCCAAGAUGAGUGCUCUCUCCUCCGACUUCCCUAGAGCCUCCGGUAUCACAGCCGAGACAGCGACGGGUUCUCCACCCAU
rnacentral:rRNA from 1 species